rnacentral:rRNA from 1 species
GACGAACGCUGGCGGCGUGCUUAACACAUGCAAGUCGAACGAAGUGGCGAACGGGUGAGUAACGCGUAAUCAACCUGCCCUUCAGAGGGGGAAAACAGUUGGAAACGACUGCUAAUACCGCAUACUGAAGGAGGGGAUUGCGUGUGGUUAGCUAGUUGGCGGGGUAACGGCCCACCAAGGCGAUGAUCAGGAGCCUGUCGGAGAGGAUGGACAGCCACAUUGGAACUGAGAUACGGCCCAGUCUCCGACGGGAGGCAGGAGUGGGGAAUCUUCCGCAAUGGACGAAAGUCUGACGUGGCAACGCCGCGUGAGUGAUGACGGCCUUCGGGUUGUAAAGCUCUGUUACUCGGAACGCGGUACCGAAAUAGAAAGCCACGGCUAACUACGUGCCAGCAGCCGCGUAAUUC